CUGACGAGUCCUUUAACUGACGCUAAAGCUCGAAAGUGCGGGUAUCGAACAGGAUUAGAUACCCUGGUAGUCCGCACGGUAAACGAUGGAUGCCCGCUGUUGGCGAUAUAGUGUCAGCGGCCAAGCGAAAGCGUUAAGCAUCCCACCUGGGGAGUACGCCGGCAACGGUGAAACUCAAAGGAAUUGACGGGGGCCCGCACAAGCGGAGGAACAUGUGGUUUAAUUCGAUGAUACGCGAGGAACCUUACCCGGGCUUGAACUGCCAGCGAACGAUCCAGAGAUGGUGAGGCCCUUCGGGGCGCUGGUGGAGGUGCUGCAUGGUUGUCGUCAGCUCGUGCCGUGAGGUGUCGGCUUAAGUGCCAUAACGAGCGCAACCCCUUUCUCCAGUUGCCAUCAGGUAGAGCUGGGCACUCUGGAGACACUGCCACCGUAAGGUGUGAGGAAGGUGGGGAUGACGUCAAAUCAGCACGGCCCUUACGUCCGGGGCUACACACGUGUUACAAUGGGUGGUACAGAGAGUCGGUCGCUGGCAAUAGCGAUCCAAUCCUAAAAGCCAUCCUCAGUUCGGAUUGGGGUCUGCAACCCGACCCCAUGAAGCUG
rnacentral:rRNA from 1 species